rnacentral:rRNA from 1 species
UGGGGAAUAUUGCACAAUGGGCGCAAGCCUGAUGCAGCGACGCCGCGUGGGGGAUGAAGGCCUUCGGGUUGUAAACCCCUUUCAGCAGGGAAGAAGCGAAAGUGACGGUACCUGCAGAAGAAGCGCCGGCUAACUACGUGCCAGCAGCCGCGGUAAUACGUAGGGCGCAAGCGUUGUCCGGAUUUAUUGGGCGUAAAGAGCUCGUAGGUGGUCUGUCGCGUCCGCUGUGAAAACCCGAGGCUCAACCUCGGGCCUGCAGUGGGUACGGGCAGACUAGAGUGCGGUAGGGGAGACUGGAAUUCCUGGUGUAGCGGUGGAAUGCGCAGAUAUCAGGAGGAACACCGAUGGCGAAGGCAGGUCUCUGGGCCGCAACUGACACUGAGGAGCGAAAGCAUGGGGAGCGAACAGG